UGGCGGCAGGCUUACACAUGCAGUCGAGCGGGCCUUCGGGGUCAGCGGCAGACGGGUGAGUAACGCGUGGGAACGUGCCCUUCGGUUCGGAAUAACUCAGGAAACUUGAGCUAAUACCGGAUACGCCCUCUAUGGGGAAAGGCUUGACUGCCGAAGGAUCGGCCCGCGUCUGAUUAGCUAGUUGGUGAGGUUACGGCUCACCAAGGCGACGAUCAGUAGCUGGUCUGAGAGGAUGAUCAGCCACACUGGGACUGAGACACGGCCCAGACUCCUACGGGAGGCAGCAGUGGGGAAUAUUGGACAAUGGGGGCAACCCUGAUCCAGCCAUGCCGCGUGAGUGAUGACGGCCUUAGGGUUGUAAAGCUCUUUUCUCCGGGACGAUAAUGACGGUACCGGAGGAAUAAGCCCCGGCUAACUUCGUGCCAGCAGCCGCGGUAAUACGAAGGGGGCUAGCGUUGCUCGGAAUCACUGGGCGUAAAGGGCGCGUAGGCGGCUGAUUUAGUCGAGGGUGAAAGCCUGUGGCUCAACCACAGAAUUGCCUUCGAUACUGGUUGGCUUGAGACCGGAAGAGGACAGCGGAACUGCGAGUGUAAGGUGAAAUUCGUAGAUAUUCGCCAAGAAC
rnacentral:rRNA from 1 species